GCCGCGGUCGCUCUGGUACUGUGACACAGCAUCUUGCGCCGUUGCGCGCUGGAUUGCAGGUGCAGCCUGGAAACCCAACGCGCGGACUCUGCCGCGGCGGCGUGCAGGAAGGAACCGUGCACGCGGCUGCGGUUGCCGGGAUUCUCCGGAUGCUGCAAGACUUGUUGGGGGUGGAUACUUGAUGGCGACUUUCUCAGUUCCAGAACGUUUGACUAAGG
rnacentral:lncRNA from 1 species